rnacentral:sRNA from 1 species
AUAAAAUCUAAACCAGCGCUGUGACACAAUUUUGAACUGACGAAGAAUUGCAAUGCUUAAAGUAUUUCUGCUAUUAUUACUUGUCUGUAUCAGUAUUGGGUUGUCUGCGGCGCAAUGGUUUGAUUGGAACAGAGAUGGUUGGAACAAUGGUUGGGAAAAUAUUUGGGACAGAGAUUGGAACAAUGGUGGCUGGACGCCUUGGUGGUUAGACUAAUGCCCCAAAAAUGUGUUACAGGGGACUCUGAUUAACCAAACCGUUAUCAACGACUGAAUGUGAAACAGCUGGAUUGUUUGAUAGAAUUAUCUAUAUAUGUUCAUACUUUUUGUGAAAAAAUGAAUCAAGGAUAUUGAAUUAAAAAUAAACUAUGCCUGUUAC